GAUGAACGCUAGCGAUAGGCUUAACACAUGCAAGUCGAGGGGCAGCAUUAUCUUAGCUUGCUAAGAUAGAUGGCGACCGGCGCACGGGUGCGUAACGCGUAUGCAACCUGCCUGUAAUUAGGGAAUAACCCGGUGAAAGUCGGACUAAUACCCUAUAUCUUCUUUCUCCGCAUGGAGGAGGACGGAAAGAUUUAUUGAUUACAGAUGGGCAUGCGUCCCAUUAGCUGGUUGGUAAGGUAACGGCUUACCAAGGCAACGAUGGGUAGGGGGACUGAGAGGUUGACCCCCCACACUGGUACUGAGACACGGACCAGACUCCUACGGGAGGCAGCAGUGAGGAAUAUUGGUCAAUGGGCGAGAGCCUGAACCAGCCAAGUCGCGUGAAGGAGGACGGUUCUAUGGAUUGUAAACUUCUUUUGUAGAGGAAUAACGGCAGCUAACGUGUAGCUGAGAUGCAUGUACUCUAACGAAUAGUAUCGGCUAACUCC
rnacentral:rRNA from 1 species